UACGGCACUGAGAUCCAAUAACCAGUCUCUGUGGGAGUUCUGGGCAGACAGAAGCGAAGAUUUUAACCCCUUUCUUGAAUAGUGGAAACCUUACAAAUACUCCCUGAUCCUCCUGAAUAUGAAUAAGGAGAGAGAGAGAUGAAGCCAGAGGAAAUGGGCAAGUGUGAGGAAAGUUGGUGCACGUACUUCCAGUCCAGGAGGUCUGAGAGGCGCUCGGUGCGGUUCCUCUGGAUGAUCCUCUGGCGCCGGUUCUGCUGGCAAAACCCGUACAGGAACUGGGUCAGCUGGUUGCACGACUCAUCUGGUGAGCGGAACCUCCUGUCUACGAUGUAGAUCCCUGAGGGACACAAGAAAAGCUGAGAGUGGUACGGUCAAGUUCAAAGUGAUUCUGCAGGACCAAGGAACAGUCAGAGACGGUUUGAAGUUCAAAUUCCUUACUGACCAAAAGGCAGAAUGGAAACAUUUUUGCUUCCAGUAUAAUCUCACUAGCUGCUGCUGUCUGAAUUAGGGAAAAAAUAAACUGGCACAAAAAGGGGAGCUCAGAUAUUUGAGAAAGAAGGAUUUUGUUAAUUUAAGAGAAGACCGUGACACACGAGGAAGGACUUGGAGAGAGCUUCAACCUUAACACAACCAAGAAAGCAUUUUAAUUAACUUACCCAGAGAACCACAAAGCUACAAUAUCCUCCAGUAACCAGACUGUAAUGUGCUCCGACGCUGACAGCAUCGUCGCUCUGUAUGUCAAGAGGAUACACACCUAAAGAGGUCUUCUUACUGACCUCUUAAAAAAAUAGAUGAAACCAAAAUACUAUUUCAUACUAUUUCAUAAAAUUUCACAGAAUUAUUUUAUUUUAAAAGUCUAAACCUUUUUAUGUAUGUUAACACUACUAGAAUUUGUCUAAAAGAGUUCUCUGCAUCACUCCAGUGUUUUCUUUUUUCCAAGUCCUGCUGCAUUAUUUCUUUUGUAUAGUUAAAAUCCAAGCAGCAGUUAGAGCUUGUCCUUCUACCCACUCCACACUGCAGAAGGACAGAAGGAAGGAGAAGCAGAAACCAAAAAUGAGGGAGAGAAAUAGGAAGUGAACUAUGCAAGUGAGACAGAGGUAAGUGGAGAUUGUCACUGAUCCUUUCCCAUACACCUUUGCUACACAGAGAGAGCAUCAGGAUCAUUCCAGUGCUCUGCAGCUUCUUUGCUAUGUCCUGACCAGGCCACUCUGGAGGCAUUAAAGCUUCUCUGACAACCAUGAGAGCCACAGGAUCCAUGGGAACAAUGUGAGCCCGGGCUCAGGAUUCAAACUGCUACAAUCGCUCUCACAUCAAUUGUUUCACCAUUCUCCUCAGAAUGUGUCUUUGAUCUGAACAGGUGUGAUAAAAAUUUGGAUUGAACUUGUUUCUGACAUUUGACUGGAAUUUGAUUGAUUGAUUGUGUGUUGAGGUACCCUUAAUAAAAGUGGGUUGUAAAAUGUGUCAGGUGAAAAACAACCAGCAUCUUCAGCCAGCAGAUAUUUUUCCUGUGGUUUUUGGGCUAUGUUUGUGGCCAGGACUCCUCAGAAGACAGAUCUCCACAUUCUCUGAAAUUCUGACAUUCCAAACACGUUUUGAAAUAAUACUGAACCAUUAAACUUAUGACAGAUGUCCACAACUGAGAAGCUAUUUCUGUGUGUAUCAUCCCCAGCGCACAAGAUUUCAUUUGGAACUUAUUUGACAUUGAUAUUCCACCCCACUCUAUAAAUGCACAGAGCUCUGAGGCUGUGCUUAUGCCAAGUUUAUGCCAGCACAUCCCCACUCCCCAAAGGGUGUUACUUCAUCUGUGUCACAAAUUACAGUAAUCACCUUCUCCCAAGGAACUUUCAUCAUGGGAAGACACAGAGGAAGUAAAAUGCUGGUCCUACUGACUUCACUGGAUUCAGGAUUUAAUUUCCAAAAGUCCAGUUUUUCACCAGAGAAACCAAACCAAGAUCUCUGCUCCAAGGAGAGCUGAAAUAAGUUCUGUUUUUAGCACAGUCUUUGUUCCAAUGGGGAUGGAAUAAAAAUAUUUGAGAUUCCUCUACCAGUGACUCUUGAGCUAAGCUGUUCAUAGCUGAACGAUGACACAAGCUGGCUGUUUGCCCAGCAUUUUUAAGCAUUCUUCUACUUUCUAUCUGAAAGCUGUGAGUGGUACAGCAAGGGAUACUAAUCUCAAUAUCACUGGAAUUACUUUCAAGACAUCUUUCUAGAGAAAAGAGCACACCUUGAACAUUCUCACCCCUUUUAACCAAUGUGUCAGAAAUCCCACUACAGACAAACUCAAUCCAGGCCCAAAGUCUUCACAGCUUGGUAGCCACUUCUUUUGUGCUCCUAUACUUAAAGCUUUUAAUGGUCUUCAUACUACGGAGGAAAGAAACCACUCAUUUUUCCACAGCUGUAUGACCAGACCUUGCUUUACUAGAGCAUGAUGGCCAAGAGAGAAAGAAAGAUGAUCUCCCCCACGAUUACCACCAGAUUUGUGGCACUGCAGCGGACUGGGACCCUUCACUGCCUGCAUUUUUCCCCUUCUGCCACAAAAACACUGUAGAUCCACUUCACAUGGGGUUUUGCCCAUCACUGAAAAGCCAACUAAAGUGAGGGAAAUCUCACAAAAAAACCUAGGCAUUUCUUAUUUCUUUGGCAGAGGACUUUCAAGGCCAGAUGAUUUCAAUAUUGUUUUUUGGUUUAGGUGGCAAGUUCCCUCUCAUGACUUGGGGGAAGGGUGAGGGAGAGUGACAUCAGCAGAUGAGUCUUUUUUAUUUCCCUUUUUUUAUUUCUCCUUCAGCUACCUUCUCUUUGCUUGCUCAGACAGAGUAGAGUACAAGCUGUAACUGAGAGGCCAAUGUUUUCUGUGUCAGAGGUUGUAAAUUAGCACAGGCUGCAGCCAGGAAAGAAAAUGCAAAAAGGAAACAUGGAGAAGUAGAAACUCUGCCUUAUUAGAGCACAUUUUAAAUUAUCCAUUCUUAAAACAAAAGGAGACAACUUCCCUGUUCCAGCUGCUGACAAAGAAGAGAUGAGACUCUGAAAAUAACAGAUACCUAUAGAUCUCUGAGCCCUGAGUUCGUACAACCAUCUUCCCUACAGCUGCACCUCAUGCCUCAGUAACAACCAGCACCGUCAGGGAAAUGCCAUGGAAUGCUUGCUUCACUUCUACAGAAUCAAGUAUUCUCCAAUUUGCAGGAUCCCCUCACCAUCCCUGGCUCUGAAGAGGUUCAGCUCAGCACCUGUGAAGGUCAUUGGUUACAGUCUGUGGGGAUGGAUAUCCACCUGUGAGCUCUGUUACCACCUUCUUCACAGAAAAGAGGACAAUUCAGCCUGAUUGUCAGUGCCACAAGAGAAAUUGAGGGAUUAUUAAGAAGCAGCACUGGCCAAGGAGGAAAUUUAUCCAAUCACCUGGUAAUGCACCAAAAUUAACACAAAGGCUGGGACUCUCUCCUGUGGGCAGCAGCAGCUUUACACCACUUCAGAAAUGCAAACCAGCAGGCUGAGCUCCUCUGACAUUCCUUUGCAUUGCCAGAAAGGAAGAAAGAAACUUUCAUGUUAAAUGCUCAAAAUUAGCUUGUCAGGCAAAAAUCCAGAAAAUUUUUAUCUUGCCCUCUAUGUUACGAACAUAUGCAGCAGCGCAAACACUAAAAUAUGCACUAGAACUAAAUCUCUGGGUGGUCAGUUUAUUUCAUCAAGUAAACAAUUCCUCCUGCUAAAGGAGCUAGGAAAUAUACAUUACAAGCUAUUCUUUCCUAAGCCUAUAUAUCUUCUGUGAUGACUCCCUGUGUUUUGCUGUCUACUCUCUCUCACAGUGCCCUAACAUUUUCCCAGAAAUGUUUACAAAAGUUAGGUCACCAGGGAACAGUUCUCACCACAUGACUUAGACAUUCAAUUGCCUGGAAGAUAUAGAAAAAAAACCCCAAACCCUCAGUAUCAAGAAUUUGCCAGAAAAAUAGGAUGAAAAAGGAUUAUAAUAGAGAUUUUGCACAGAUGUUUCUAGUCAAGCUUGGUUAAUGGAAACUUUGCACAAGGUCAGAUUCUAAUGGAGAAAUUGUUUUCCAUUCCAUGUUCCUUCAUCCCUGUCUGAAUAUAUGGGCUUGGAAAGUGGUGUAAGCAAAGGCACAUUACUUUUAA